rnacentral:rRNA from 1 species
GAUGAACGCUGGCGGCGUGCCUAAUACAUGCAAGUCGAGCGAAGCGGGGACGGGUGAGUAACACGUGGAUAACCUCCUAUAAGACUGGGAUAACUCCGGGAAACCGGAGCUAUACCGGAUACUACCAGAUGGAUCCUCGCUGCAGUAGCUAGUUGGUAAGGUAACGGCUUACCAAGGCAACGAUGCAUAGCCGACCUGAGAGGAUGAUCGGCCACACUGGGACUGAGACACGGUCCAGACUCCUACGGGAGGCAGCAGUAGGGAAUCUUGCGCAAUGGGCGAAAGCCUGACGGAGCAACGCCGCGUGAGUGAUGAAGGUCUUAGGGUCGUAAAACUCUGUUAUUAGGGAGGCGGUACCUACUCAGAAAGCCACGGCUAACUACGUGCCAGCAGCCGCGGUAAUUC